rnacentral:rRNA from 1 species
UGGGGAAUUUUGGACAGUGGGCGCAAGCCUGAUCCAGCCAUGCCGCGUGCAGGAUGAAGGCCUUCGGGUUGUAAACUGCUUUUGUACGGAACGAAAAGACUCCUUCUAAUAAAGGGGGUCCAUGACGGUACCGUAAGAAUAAGCACCGGCUAACUACGUGC